GACGAACGCUGGCGGCGUGCUUAACACAUGCAAGUCGAACGGUGAAAGCGGAGCUUGCUCCGCUGGAUCAGUGGCGAACGGGUGAGUAACACGUGGGCAACCUGCCCCUCACUUCGGGAUAACUCCGGGAAACCGGGGCUAAUACCGGAUAUGACCUCCUUGGGCAUCCUUGGAGGUGGAAAGUUUUUCGGUGAGGGAUGGGCCCGCGGCCUAUCAGCUGGUUGGUGAGGUAGUGGCUCACCAAGGCGACGACGGGUAGCCGGCCUGAGAGGGUGACCGGCCACACUGGGACUGAGACACGGCCCAGACUCCUACGGGAGGCAGCAGUGGGGAAUAUUGCACAAUGGGCGCAAGCCUGAUGCAGCAACGCCGCGUGAGGGAUGACGGCCUUUGGGUUGUAAACCUCUUUUAGUAGGGAAGAAGCGAAAGUGACGGUACCUGCAGAAAAAGCACCGGCUAACUACGUGCCAGCCGCCGCUGUAC
rnacentral:rRNA from 1 species